UACAGAGGUCCCAAGCGUUGUUCGGAUUCAUUGGGCGUAAAGGGUGCGUAGGCGGCGCGGUAAGUCGGGUGUGAAAUCUCGGAGCUUAACUCCGAAACUGCAUUCGAUACUGCCGUGCUUGAGGACUGGAGAGGAGACUGGAAUUUACGGUGUAGCAGUGAAAUGUGUAGAUAUCGUAAGGAAGACCAGUGGCGAAGGCGAGUCUCUGGACAGUUCCUGACGCUGAGACACGAAGGCCAGGGGAGCAAACGGG
rnacentral:rRNA from 1 species